AGUGAACGCUGGCGGUAGGCCUAACACAUGCAAGUCGAACGGCAGCACAGUAAGAGCUUGCUCUUACGGGUGGCGAGUGGCGGACGGGUGAGGAAUACAUCGGAAUCUACUUUUUCGUGGGGGAUAACGUAGGGAAACUUACGCUAAUACCGCAUACGACCUACGGGUGAAAGCAGGGGAUCUUCGGACCUUGCGCGAUUGAAUGAGCCGAUGUCGGAUUAGCUAGUUGGCGGGGUAAAGGCCCACCAAGGCGACGAUCCGUAGCUGGUCUGAGAGGAUGAUCAGCCCACAUUGAACCGGGGAACGGGCCAGACUCCUAAGGGAGGCAGCAGUGGGGAAUAUUGGACAAUGGGGGGAAGCCUGAUCCAGCCAUACCGGGUGGGGGAAGAAGGCCUUCGGGUUGUAAAGCCCUUUUGUUGGGAAAGAAAAGCAGCAGGUUAAUACCCCGCUGUUCUGACGGUACCCAAAGAAUAAGCACCGGCUAACUUCGUG
rnacentral:rRNA from 1 species